rnacentral:tRNA from 1 species
UGAUCGACAGCAGCGAGGCGAUGCCCAUCGCACCCACGCCGACCGGGUUGACGUCGUAGAGGUGAGCGCGGCGG